rnacentral:lncRNA from 1 species
CCACUGGUCCUGUGGUUCCUCAGGGGUCCUGGCACUGGCAAGGGGACGCAGCAAACCCACACCGUCGUGACCCUGGUCACAUACACCUGUCUUCAGGAAAACUUCUCUGUGAUGAAAGAACCCAGAUUCACAGUGGUGAACUCUUCAAAAACUAUACUAAACAAGGGAAGACUGUGCUAGAUGAAAUAACCAUACAUGCAUUUAUUCACAUGGGAAAUGGAUCAGACAAUGGCUGCCAAUGCUAAGAAUAAAUUCUUGAUGAGUUUCUAAGAAAUCAAGACAACCUUCAAGGUUGGGCCAAGAGCAUGGAUGGGAAAGGCAGAUGUGCAUCUGGUUCUGUUUUCUGACCAUAAUAAUGAGAUCUACAUGAAAGGAUGUCUUGAGAGGAGGGAACAGUGGUAAGAGUGAAGCCAGCAGAGAGAGCUUGGAAAAGAGAAUUCAGACCCAUCUUCAAGUUAACAAAAACAAUUACUGACUCAUACGAAGAAAUCGGGAAAGUCAAUAAAACGGAUGCUUCUAAACCUGUUGAUGAAGUUUUUCUGAAGUUGUGAAAAUUUCCAACAAAAAA